UCAGCUGAUUGUGGGUGUGGUAGAGGAACUUAUUCAUCCUCAUCAAACAGAGGAUUAGCAAUUCUUAACUUUGUCAUCUGUUGGUUGAUGUGCACGGCAGCAAUUAUCUUGUUCCUAGUCGCUGGAGCCACACACUAUGGAGCACCAUUUUUGAAGAUGGGAGGCAAUAAUACAUCUCUGGGAGAUACGUCGCAGUGGAUCGGCACAGGCAAUUGCUCCAGAGUUAGACGUGGAGUAUUUGGUGCAACAGCUGCAUUAUCCUUUGUUGGUAUCACCCUUGGAAUCAUUAGUUACAUUGCCUUGGUUUCCGAAGAUUAUAGAGCCAGAAAUA